AAUACCUACGGGGCGCAGCAGUGGGGAAUAUUGCACAAUGGGGGAAACCCUGAUGCAGCGACGCCGCGUGAGUGAAGAAGUAUUUCGGUAUGUAAAGCUCUAUCAGCAGGAACGAGACAAGACGGUACCUGACUAAGAAGCCCUGGCUAACUACGUGCCAGCAGCCGCGGUAAUACGUAGGGGGCAAGCGUUAUCCGGAUUUACUGGGUGUAAAGAGAGCGUAGACGGUGCGUCAAGUCUGAAGUGAAAGCCCGGGGCUUAACCCCGGGACUGCUUUGGAAACUGGCGCGCUAGAGUGCUGGAGG
rnacentral:rRNA from 1 species